rnacentral:rRNA from 1 species
AUUGAACGCUGGCGGCAGGCCUAACACAUGCAAGUCGAGCGGAUGAAGGGAGCUUGCUCCUGGAUUCAGCGGCGGACGGGUGAGUAAUGCCUAGGAAUCUGCCUGGUAGGGGGGUAUAACGUCCGGAAACGGGCGCUAAUACCGCAUACGUCCUGAGGGAGAAAGUGGGGGAUCUUCGGACCUCACGCUAUCAGAUGAGCCUAGGUCGGAUUAGCUAGUUGGUGGGGUAAGGGCCUACCAAGGCGACGAUCCGUGACUGGUCUGAGAGGAUGAUCAGUCACACUGGAACUGGGACACGGUCCAGACUCCUACGGGAGGCAGCAGUGGGGAAUAUUGGACAAUGGGCGAAAGCCUGAUCCAGCCAUGCCGCGUGUGUGAAGAAGGUCUUCGGAUUGUAAAGCACUUUAAGUUGGGAGGAAGGGCAGUAAGUUAAUACCUUGCUGUUUUGACGUUACCAACAGAAUAAGCACCGGCUAACUUCGUG